ACGCCCGGCCCUGCCCCCAGCAGAGGCGGAAGCGGUGUCGCUCUGAGGGGUCGCCAGUCGCCGCAGGCGCUUCAGCCCAGCGGCGGGCCUUGGCCCUUGGCUGCCUACUCCUACCGCCCCAGCCCCGGGCGGCCCUGGGCCUGCUGCGGGCGCGGCGCUGCCCGACCAGAGCUUCCUGUGGAACGUCUUCCAGAGGGUCGAUAAAGACAGGAGUGGAGUGAUAUCAGACACCGAGCUUCAGCAAGCUCUCUCCAACGGCACGUGGACUCCCUUUAAUCCAGUGACUGUCAGGUCGAUCAUAUACUACACUGAAGGCUGGUUACGCUCUUAUGUGCAAUAGAACCUCAAACACAUCGUAACACACCUUUGGAGAAUCCUUACAAGAACACCAAGUUAACAGUUAUCUCUGACCACACUACCUCAGCAAAAAACCAGGAAGAAAAAAUAUUCUUCAACCCUUUUCAGGGACAGAAAGCAUCAUUUCAAAAGUCCAAGAAGGGAAGGUAAGAAUUUCAGAAGUGAAAGUUAUCAUGAAAGGCUAUAAAAGCUUGAGAUGAGUCUGAAAAACAAAUGGAAAAUGAGUCACUUCAGGGCCUCUCCCAGCCUCAAAGCCAAUUAAUUAUUACAUUAGUCAGAGUAAUUUUAAGCCUUCCAAUCCACUCACCCUAGCCACAGGCAACAGUAGCCUCUCCAAGUGUUAAGGGUUUUUUUCCCAAGCCUGCAGGCGGAUGAGCUUUUUACAUGGCAGCCCCUUAGGAUUGGAUGUGGACCUGCCCUGUCUUUCACCAAGAAGCAAGCACUGCGCAGAUCACUGAAUCAUAAAAACCACCUGCUCUUACCAGCCUCCUCUUCCUCUACAGCAAAACUUCUGACCUGAGACAUCGAAGCAGAUAAAAAGCCGCUACACAAAAUGUAUCGCUACAACUAGAGGGCAGUCUUGCCUUUCUUCCAUUCAAUUAUUCAGUUUCUCAUGUUCCUAAGUGCCAGCCCAGAACCAUGGAAUGUGAAG
rnacentral:lncRNA from 1 species